rfam:Beta vulgaris subsp. vulgaris Bvchr5.sca023.con0217.1, whole genome shotgun sequence.
AUUAUCGUCAAUUCUGUCAUUUUCACAGGAUUUGUGAUCGCGAAUCGCGAUCCCGCGAGGGUGAGCUAACCCCAAAAACCCGUCCUCAAUUCAGAUUGUAGGCUGCAAACUUGCCUGCAUGUAGCCGGAAUCGCUAGUAAUCGCUGGUCAGCCAUACGGCGGUCAAUUUGUUCC